AGCAAUCCUAUCGGUGAGAUGCUGCACUUCCUUGAUAGUUCUUAGUGGAGUCAUCUCAAGGAUUACUCUGAUCUUCUCGAAAUUUGCCUAGAUGCCUCUUCAUGAGAUCAUGAAUCCAAAGAAUUUAUUGAUGGUAACUCCAUAGGCACACUUCACUGGAUUCAACCUCAUCUGGAAUCAAUGAAGGGUAUUGAAAGUCUCCUAA
rnacentral:lncRNA from 1 species